AACUCACUCCGGGAGCCGGGACUCACUCCCGGAAACUGCUUCCGGGAGGGCAGGAAACGGAGAGCUCGAGGGGGCGGGGCCUGGUGGAUGUGGGCGUGGCAGCCCCGCCCCACCCCCGGGCGUUUCCGGUCCGGAAGUGCCGCCGCCCGUGGGAGCGGAGUCUCCCGUCUCCCGCCGCGCCCGCGGGAGCGUGUUGGGCGUCCGCCCUCCUUCAGGUUAAACGUUGGAGCUGCUUUAAUGUAAAAGCUUGGAGUUGUGAGGCCACUUAUAUUGAAUGCGGAGAUCUUUCCUUCUCAAAACAUGGAAAAGAUUUAAGUCCAAAACCCUUUUGAGGAGCGUGUCCCGUGGGUCCUGUGACACCGUUAGGACAAGUGUGAGGGACGCCCUGCGCCUUGUGAGACGAGGAAGAGGGAGCUCGGCGUCUGUCUGUGCAGGCAGGACGAAGAAGCGCGGCUUGCUCACGGCGGGACAGAGCGCCUGCAAGUCCGAAGGCCUCAGAAUGAAGCCUGCCCUGCCAGCACCUCGGCCCUGGACGUCCCCGACUCCACGGCUGAGCCGCCUGGUCUGUGGUAUUUGGCUGUGGCAGCACGAACUAAGACAGAUUUCCAUAGUGAGUAAAGACCUCGGUCAUUCCACCAGGUGAGGAACCACGACCAGGUGCUGGCUGACGGGAAAGGAUCGUAGAGCCAACAGCGGAAGAGCAAAAUGGUGUCAGUUCAGCUCGGCAGCCUCCAAUCUUAUCUUCAAAGGAAAGGCAUUCGACUUCGCAGCGACCAUCCAUUCUCUGACAGUGUAGUUGUCUUUGAAAUCCUCCUCUGGCUAAGUGAAGAAAGCAGUCAGUCUUCAGUUAUCCAGUACUGAAUUACUGGAAGGCAAAAUUCCACCACUCAGGCCAAGCCAGAGCUCCACACUACUGAAUCUCAUGGCGACACAGAGUGAAAGUGGACAGCAGAAAAGCAGAUGUGACCUGAACAGCUGUGCCUGAGCUCGGAUCCCCGGUUCAGUAUAUACAGGGUGCUUCCUUUGUACUCAAGUAGAAAAACCAAGAAAGGGUUCCCUCUGCUAUAAUCUUUGUUGGACAUAGAGAAACAGUGUUUCUUCCUGGGGCGGGGGGAGACAAUAUCCUUUCUAAUUCCAAUAAGCAGUCUUUUGCAAUAAAAGAUUUUUUUCCUAUCU